GAUGAACGCUGGCGGUGUGCCUAAUACAUGCAAGUCGAGCGAACAGACGAGGAGCUUACUCCUCUGACGUUAGCGGCGGACGGGUGAGUAACACGUGGAUAACCUACCUAUAAGACUGGGAUAACUUCGGGAAACCGGAGCUAAUACCGGAUAACAUGUUGAACCGCAUGGUUCAACAGUGAAAGACGGUCUUGCUGUCACUUAUAGAUGGAUCCGCGUCGCAUUAGCUAGUUGGUAAGGUAACGGCUUACCAAGGCAACGAUGCGUAGCCGACCUGAGAGGGUGAUCGGCCACACUGGAACUGAGACACGGUCCAGACUCCUACGGGAGGCAGCAGUAGGGAAUCUUCCGCAAUGGGCGGAAGCCUGACGGAGCAACGCCGCGUGAGUGAAGAAGGUCUUCGGAUCGUAAAACUCUGUUAUUAGGGAAGAACAAAUGUGUAAGUAACUAUGCACGUCUUGACGGUACCUAAUCAGAAAGCCACGGCUAACUACGUG
rnacentral:rRNA from 1 species